UGCUUUGUAAAAUUUGUAAACCCUCAAGG
rnacentral:piRNA from 1 species